rnacentral:rRNA from 1 species
AACGAACGCUGGCGGCAGGCCUAACACAUGCAAGUCGAGCGAAGCCUUCGGGCUUAGCGGCGGACGGGUGAGUAACGCGUGGGAACGUGCCCUUUGGUACGGAAUGGCCCCGGGAAACUGGGAGUAAUACCGGAUGUGGUCGAGAGACGAAAGAUUUAUCGCCAAAGGAUCGGCCCGCGUUGGAUUAGGUAGUUGGUGGGGUAAUGGCCUACCAAGCCGACGAUCCAUAGCUGGUUUGAGAGGAUGAUCAGCCACACUGGGACUGAGACACGGCCCAGACUCCUACGGGAGGCAGCAGUGGGGAAUCUUAGACAAUGGGGGAAACCCUGAUCUAGCCAUGCCGCGUGAUCGAUGAAGGCCUUAGGGUUGUAAAGAUCUUUCAGUGGGGAAGAUAAUGACUGUACCCACAGAAGAAGCCCCGGCUAACUCCGUGCCAGCAGCCGCAGUAAGAC